rnacentral:miRNA from 1 species
UGCCUGGGUCUCUGGCCUGCGCGU